ACUGAAUGAAUACAUGUCCCAAUGUUGCUCAUUGUUCUUUACAGAUUGCAUGGCUACUUAGUAUCACAGCUCCUGAUCAACUCUACUACUGCCCUAGAGAAUCAAAACCAUCAGACUUGUGCCGUGAUUGUCAGGAAUGUACACUGGUCCACGAGGGUUUGGGUGCUGUCAGGCAGGCAGGCCAGACCCACUCGCUCAGCACUCUGGAACAUCUGCAUGUUAGCCAGUCAGGCGAUCACAUGGAAGCUCUUGUGUAUCACUGUUCUUGGUCCACUUCACUAUUAAUAAGGAAAGCACUGGUAUCCCACAUCAACGUGAUGCCACCCACAGCAUGGCAAAAAGCUUGGGACACAUCUCCAGCAACCAGCAAUUAUAUAAGAAAGAAGAACUAACUAAAUUAAGAUAAGAAAACAAGAGUCGCUGCUGUAACAAAAACAUUGUUGUUGUCAUGGCACCCACCUCAUGUCCACACGGGAAAUGUGGGUAAUCCUGGACUUGCCAGAGCCACAGGGCUGGAUGAGGUAGCGAGAGGCAAGGACAAUGCCUCGCACACCUCCCACAAGCAUUGGUGCAUCUACGUGCUCCACGGAGGUCUCCACUACUACACAGCUGCCUCGUGCAAGAUCACUGCGCCAGUGCCUGGAAGGAGCAAACACCUUAAGGCCUGACAAGCACUUGCACACUUACCUGAGUACACAGUAGUCGACUGGUGGCCGAGGUGGCAUUGAGUUACACAUGUACUGGAACACCUCAGACUGGCGGUCAAGGCGACUCACAACCCGCCACUUGAACAAGCUGUCAUCCCACAGAUUGAGGCAGCCUAUAAACAUCUCUAAUCCUUAUCAUGAUUCAGCUUCUUUACUGACUUGUCUCUGGCUUCCUUGAAGAGUGAGGUGAUACAAGCAUUCAUGUAGGAGUUCCAGUCGCCUUCAUUUCUGGGGCCUCCAGGGGAGCCCAUCCCAAGGUCCUCUAAGCAGACUGGCUGACUCUGCUCCAGUGGACUUGAACCUGAUGAUCCGCCAACAUUCAAAUGGAAAAGUGAUGGAGCCAGACACACAGCCAAGUUGCUUGCCGUCAUCUGCCAAAGUGUCACACUGUGAUGUUUGUUGAUGACAAUUUUGUCAAGAUCAAACUGGGGUGCAUUGGCAGCCACAUCAGCAAGGAAGGUUAGCAGCGCCAUCAGCACCUCUCUAUUCUCGUCAGGCAACAUCAGCACUGCACAUUGCAAGGCCUCUAGUCGGUGCUCAUUAGGUAGAUCUGAGAAAUAAAACAGAUA